rnacentral:rRNA from 1 species
AAGCCAGACUCCUACGGGAGGCAGCAGUGGGGAAUAUUGCACAAUGGGGGGAACCCUGAUGCAGCGACGCCGCGUGGGUGAAGGAGCACCUCGGUGCGUAAAGCCCUAUCGGCAGGGAAGAAACAGACGGUACCUGACUAAGAAGCCCCGGCUAACUACGUGCCAGCAGCCGCGGUAAUACGUAGGGGGCAAGCGUUAUCCGGAUUCACUGGGUGUAAAGGGAGCGUAGACGGCGACGCAAGUCUGGAGUGAAAGCCCGGGGCCCAACCCCGGGACUGCUCUGGAAACUGCGUCGCUAGAGUGCAGGAGGGGCAGGCGGAAUUCCUAGUGUAGCGGUGAAAUGCGUAGAUAUUAGGAGGAACACCAGUGGCGAAGGCGGCCUGCUGGACUGCAACUGACGUUGAGGCUCGAAGGCGUGGGGAGCAAACAGGAUUAGAUACCCCUGUAA